GGGGAAUGCCCAGUCACUUUACACUGAAUAUAUAGGUGUAGAGGAGGCACCCAGGGAAGUGAAACAUCUCAGUACCUGGAGGAAAAGAAAAUAAUGAGUUCUAUUCUCAUCUCGACGCUCGAUUCAUCGAGGUUCGAGAUGAUGAAUAGUUGCUUACAUUCCCUAAGUAGCGGCGAGCGAAAGGGGAACAGCCCAAACCUAUCAAGUGAAGUCAGCGGAAGUAUCUCUUCGGAGGUGCGGAUGCGAAACGAAAGGUAUCAGCCCUUGCUUGGUAGGUGUUGUAAGUGCGAACGUGUGUAACUGAUAUUGCACGGUGUGAUUGAUUAUAGUUAGCAAAAUUUGCUGGAAAGCAAAACCAAAGAAGGUGAUAGUCCUGUAUGCGAAAAUUAUUUAUCAACACUCGGUUCGUUACUUGAGUACGGCGGGACACGUGAAAUCCUGUUGGAAUCUCCCGCGACUAUGCGGUAAGGCUAAAUACAUGUUUUGAUCGAUAGCGAAGAGUACCGUGAGGGAAAGCUGAAAAGAACCCCGGAAGGGGAGUGAAAUAGAAUCUGAAACCAUAUACCUACAAGGAGUUGGAGCCCAUUUAUUGGGUGACAGCGUUCCUAUUGAAGAAUGAGCCAACGAGUUUAUGUCUGUUGCAGGUUAAGUCCUUCGGGAUGGAGCCAAAGUGAAAGCGAGCCUUAACGGGCGUUUGUAGCAGGUAUAAGACCCGAAACUAAGCGACCUAUCCAUGGCCAGGGUGAAGCCAGCCUAAAAACUGGUGGAGGCCCGAACCCACACGUCGUGCAAAACGUCGGGAUGAGCUGUGGAUAGCGGAGAAAUUCCAAUCGAGCUUAGUAAUAGCUGGUUCUCCUCGAAAUAUGUUUAGGCAUAGCGUCGGUUAAUAGCGUGUUGGGGGUAGAGCACUGAUUGGGGUUGGCGCCUUCGGGUAGCCGCCCUAGCCAAACUCCGAAUACCAACACGUGUUCCCGGCAGUCAGACCAUGGGGGCGAAGCUCCAUUGGUCUAAAGGGAAACAGCCCAGAUCUCAAGCUAAGGUCCCUAAAUCAUUACUGAGUGUAAAAGGUGGUGAGAAGACUUAUACAACCAGGAGGUUGGCUUAGAAGCAGCCAUCCUUUAAAGAUAGCGUAACAGCUCACUGGUCAAGUUUUCUUGCGCCGAAAAUGUACCGGGGCUAAGUAAUGUACCGAAGCUGAGGGUGUCACAUUCUUUCGAGAGUGUGGCGCGGUAGAGGAGCAUUCCUAUUGCGUUGAAGUCAAACCGUAAGGUUUGGUGGAGCGAUGGGAAGAGAGAAUGUUGGCAUGAGUAGCAAAAAGACAGGUGAGAACCCUGUCCGCCGAAAACCUAAGGUUUCCACAGCAACGAAAAUCGUCUGUGGGUUAGUCGGGAGCUAAGGCGAGGCCGAAAGGCGUAGUCGAUGCACAGCAGGUUAAUAUUCCUGCACCACGGUAGUGUUCUAAUGGGGGGACGCUUGCCAGAAUUUCCUGUAUCCUAUGGCUAUGAUACUGGGGGCUCGGGGUGGACUGAUAGGAAAAUCCGUCAGUCACAACACCCUUAGUCAUCGCAACCCUGCUUAGGCAGGGGAGAGGAAAAAAUGGUGGGUCAAGAAAAGCCUCUAGGGUUAACACUAUUGUGCCCGUACCAAAUCCGACACAGGUAGGUGGGUGUAAAUGCACUAAGGCGUACGAGUGAAACAUUGUUAGGGAACUCGGCAAAACAGCGGCCGUAACUUCGGGAUAAGGCCUGGUUUUUCUCGGGAGAGAAAGACCCUCAGCAAAUGACUGCAAGCGACUGUUUAUCAAAAACACAGGUCCCUGCUAAACCGUAAGGUGAUGUAUAGGGGCUGAUGCCUGGCCAGUGUCCGAACGUUAAGGAAGCGGGUUAGAUUCUUCGGAAUCGAAGCUUGCGACUGAAGCGCGGAUGAACGCCGGCCGUAACUAUAACGGUCCUAAGGUAGCGAAAUUCCUUGUCGGGUGAGUUCCGACCUGCACGAAUGGCAUAACGACUUGCAGACUGUCCCAACAAUGUACUCGGCGAAAUUGCGAUGAGAGUGAAGAUGCUCUCUACGCACAGUCGGACGAAAAGACCCCGUGAAGCUUUACUACAGCUUGUCAUUGGAUUUAUGUUUCACAUGUUCAGUAUAGGUGGGAGCCUUCGGGCGCCAGUGAGAUACCACCCUUGUGUUGUGUGAAUCCUAACCGGCGACCAUGAAUCUGGUUGCUGGGACAGUGGCUGGUGGGUAGUUUUACUGGGGCGGUAGCCUCCUAAAAGGUAACGGAGGCGUUUACAAAGGUUGGCUUAGCCCGGAUGGAAAUCGGGCUGAAUGUGCAAACGCAGAAGCCAGCUUUAUUGCAAGACUGACACGUCGCGCAGUUGCGAAAGCAGAAGUUAGUGAUCCGACCGUACGAUAUAGGACGGCGGAAGCUCAUCGGAUAAAAGCUACUCCGGGGAUAACAGGCUAGUUUCGCCCAAGCGUCCACAGCGACGGCGAAGUUCGGCACCUCGAUGUCGGCUCAUCGCAUCCUGGGGGUGAAGAAGCUCCCAAGGGUUAGGCUGUUCGCCUAUUAAAGCGGUACGCGAGCUGGGUUCAGAACGUCGUGAGACAGUUCGGUCUCCUAUCCACUACGCACGUUGAAGAUUGAAAGGACUCAUCCCUAGUACGAGAGGACCGGGAUGAACUGACCUCUGGUGUACCAGUUGUUCCGCCUGGAGCAUGGCUGGGUAGCUACGUCGGGUUCGGAUAACCGCUGAAAGCAUCUAAGCGGGAAGUCGACCUUAAGAUUAAUCUUCUUAGACACCUCAGAGACUAUGAGGUUGAUAGGCACUAGAUGUAAGCUCGGUAACGAGUUCAGUCAAGGUGUACUAAUUAGUCAUAUGGCCCUCCAC
rnacentral:rRNA from 1 species